UACGGACGCAGCAGUGGGGAAUUUCGACAAUGGGGAAACCCUGAUCCAGCCAUCCCGCGUGUGCGAUGAAGGCUCUCUGGUUGUAAAGCACUUUGGCAGAAAGAAACGGCACGGAUAAUACUUUUCCUGCGCAACUGACGGUGCCCGCAGGAAUAAGCACCGGCUAACCACGUGCCAGCAGCCGCGGUAAUACGUGGUAGGGCAAGCGUGUUAAUCGGAAUUACUGGGCGUAAAGCGUGCGCAGGCGGUUCGGAAAGAAAGAUGAAACUCAGAGCUUAACUUUGGAACUGCAUUUUUAACUACCGAGCUAGAGUGUGUCAGAGGAGGUGAAUUCCGCGUGUAGCAGUGAAAUGCGUAGAUAUGCGGAGGAACACCGAUGGCGAAGGCAGCCUCCUGAUAACACUGACGCUCAUGCACGAAAGCGUAAACAGGGAUUAGAUACUCCCGGUAGU
rnacentral:misc_RNA from 1 species